rnacentral:rRNA from 1 species
GUAACACGUAGGAGGCAAACGUUAUCCGGAUUUACUGGGCGUAAAGCGCGUGUAGGUGGUUCUGUAAGUAGGGCGUGAAAGCUCCCGGCUCAACUGGGAGAGGCCGUUCUAAACUGCAGAGCUAGAGGAUGGUAGAGGGAGGUGGAAUUCCAGGUGCAGCGGUAGAAUGCGCAGAUAUCUGGAGGAACACCAGUGGCGAAAGCGGCCUCCUGGACCAUUCCUGACACUCAGACGCGAAAGCUAGGGUAGCAAACGGGAUUAGAGACCCCGGUAGUCCUAGCCCUAAACGAUGUAGACUAGACGUCGGCGGUGUAAUAGCUGUCGGUGUCCAAGCUAACGCGAUAAGUCUACCGCCUGGGGACUACGGCCGCAAGGUUAAAACUCAAAGGAAUUGACGGGUCCCCGCACAAGCAGCGGAGCGUGUGGUUUAAUUCGUUGCUACACGAAGAACCUUACCUGGGUUUGACAUAGCAGUGGUAGGGAAGAGAAAUCGGACCGACCCUUCGGGGAGCUGUUACAGGUGUUGCAUGGCUGUCGUCAGCUCGUGUCGUGAGAUGCUCGGUUAAGUCCGCUAACGAGCGCAACCCGCGUUGUGUGUUAUAUGUGUCACACAAUACCGCCGGUAUUAAGCCGGAGGAAGGUGCGGAUGACGUCAAGUCAGCAUGACCUUUAUAUCCAGGGCUACACACACGCUACAAUGGACAGUACAACAGGUUGCCAAGCCGCGAGGCGGAGCCAAUCCUCUAAAGCUGUCCUCAGUUCAGAUUGCAGGCUGCAACUCGCCUGCAUGAAGUUGGAGUUGCUAGUAACCGCAGGUCAGCUAUACUGCGGUGAAUACGUUCCCGGGGAUUGUACACACCGCCCGUAAGGGC